UCGUGCUAGACGGGAAGGUAGCGGUGUCCUGUACCCGCAAUCCGCUAUAGCGGGGUUUAAUUCCUACCCUCGGGCUCUUUGGUUUCCAGGGCUGCCUCGGGAAAGUGAUGAAGAAAGUUCGGUCCUGUGCGGCGCAAGCUCAUGAAUCCCGUCAGGUCCGGGAGGAAGCAGCGGUAAGUGAGAUGUUGCGGGUGCCACGGGGUAGCCGAACCGGAGUUAACUAUCCGGGUUACGCCUGGGGACGGAGGACAAAGGUAGGUGCACGG
rnacentral:SRP_RNA from 1 species